rnacentral:rRNA from 1 species
UAAUUUGAGAGUUUGAUCCUGGCUCAGGACGAACGCUGGCGGCGUGCCUAAUACAUGCAAGUCGAACGAACUCUGGUAUUGAUUGGUGCUUGCAUCAUGAUUUACAUUUGAGUGAGUGGCGAACUGGUGAGUAACACGUGGGAAACCUGCCCAGAAGCGGGGGAUAACACCUGGAAACAGAUGCUAAUACCGCAUAACAACUUGGACCGCAUGGUCCGAGUUUGAAAGAUGGCUUCGGCUAUCACUUUUGGAUGGUCCCGCGGCGUAUUAGCUAGAUGGUGGGGUAACGGCUCACCAUGGCAAUGAUACGUAGCCGACCUGAGAGGGUAAUCGGCCACAUUGGGACUGAGACACGGCCCAAACUCCUACGGGAGGCAGCAGUAGGGAAUCUUCCACAAUGGACGAAAGUCUGAUGGAGCAACGCCGCGUGAGUGAAGAAGGGUUUCGGCUCGUAAAACUCUGUUGUUAAAGAAGAACAUAUCUGAGAGUAACUGUUCAGGUAUUGACGGUAUUUAACCAGAAAGCCACGGCUAACUACGUGCCAGCAGCCGCGGUAAUACGUAGGUGGCAAGCGUUGUCCGGAUUUAUUGGGCGUAAAGCGAGCGCAGGCGGUUUUUUAAGUCUGAUGUGAAAGCCUUCGGCUCAACCGAAGAAGUGCAUCGGAAACUGGGGAACUUGAGUGCAGAAGAGGACAGUGGAACUCCAUGUGUAGCGGUGAAAUGCGUAGAUAUAUGGAAGAACACCAGUGGCGAAGGCGGCUGUCUGGUCUGUAACUGACGCUGAGGCUCGAAAGUAUGGGUAGCAAACAGGAUUAGAUACCCUGGUAGUCCAUACCGUAAACGAUGAAUGCUAAGUGUUGGAGGGUUUCCGCCCUUCAGUGCUGCAGCUAACGCAUUAAGCAUUCCGCCUGGGGAGUACGGCCGCAAGGCUGAAACUCAAAGGAAUUGACGGGGGCCCGCACAAGCGGUGGAGCAUGUGGUUUAAUUCGAAGCUACGCGAAGAACCUUACCAGGUCUUGACAUACUAUGCAAAUCUAAGAGAUUAGACGUUCCCUUCGGGGACAUGGAUACAGGUGGUGCAUGGUUGUCGUCAGCUCGUGUCGUGAGAUGUUGGGUUAAGUCCCGCAACGAGCGCAACCCUUAUUAUCAGUUGCCAGCAUUAAGUUGGGCACUCUGGUGAGACUGCCGGUGACAAACCGGAGGAAGGUGGGGAUGACGUCAAAUCAUCAUGCCCCUUAUGACCUGGGCUACACACGUGCUACAAUGGAUGGUACAACGAGUUGCGAACUCGCGAGAGUAAGCUAAUCUCUUAAAGCCAUUCUCAGUUCGGAUUGUAGGCUGCAACUCGCCUACAUGAAGUCGGAAUCGCUAGUAAUCGCGGAUCAGCAUGCCGCGGUGAAUACGUUCCCGGGCCUUGUACACACCGCCCGUCACACCAUGAGAGUUUGUAACACCCAAAGUCGGUGGGGUAACCUUUUAGGAACCAGUCGCCUAAGGUGGGACAGAUGAUUAGGGUGAAGUCGUAACAAGGUAGCCGUAGGAGAACCUGCGGCUGGAUCACCUCCUUU